UGGGGAAUUUUGCACAAUGGGCGCAAGCCUGGUGCAGCCAUGCCGCGUGUAUGAAGAAGGCCUUCGGGUUGUAAAGUACUUUCAGUCGGGAGGAAGGUGGUAAGGUUAAUAACCUUAUCAAUUGACGUUACCGACAGAAGAAGCACCGGCUAACUCCGUGCCAGCAGCCGCGGUAAUACGGAGGGUGCAAGCGUUAAUCGGAAUUACUGGGCGUAAAGCGCACGCAGGCGGUUUGUUAAGUCAGAUGUGAAAUCCUCGGGCUCAACCUGGGAACUGCAUCUGAUAAUGGAAAGCUUGAGUCUCGUAGAGGGGGGUAGAAUUCCAGGUGUGGCGGUGAAAUGCGUAGAGAUCUGGAGGAAUACCGGUGGCGAAGGCGGCCCCCUGGACGAAGACUGACGCUCAGGUGCGAAAGCGUGGGGGGCAAACAGG
rnacentral:rRNA from 1 species